AGCCCUAAGUGGGUGGUAAACUCCAUCUAAGGCUAAAUAUGACCACGAGACCGAUAGCGAACAAGUACCGUGAGGGAAAGUUGAAAAGCACUUUGAAGAGAGAGUUCAAGAGUACGUGAAACCGUUUAGGGGUAAACCUGAGAAACCCGAAAGGUCGAAGGAAGAAAUUCAUUCGCGUUUCGUCGCAGGCGUCGAGCGGGAUCGUGUGACGGGAAACGUUCGCGUUUUCCGCGCCUUCCGUUCUUCGAACCGGCGAUGAACGCGUGCACUUUUCUUCUGGUAGGACGUCGCGAUCCGUUGGGUGUCGGUCUACGGCUCGCGGUGGAGCCCGUUCGUCGUAUUUUUCGUACGUACGGACGGACCCGCGUGUCCCGGCUGACUCGCUCGACGGUAUACGAAAGGUUUAAGGCCGCUCUCGGAGCGUUCGGCUCGUGGCAAGCGCGCCAGAUGUGUCGGCGAUCGGACCUAGUGCCGAUUCUGACCUCUGGUGACUGUUGGCCGCGAAGUUCUCGAACAGACCUUAAAACCGAUCUGCGACGCUAUAGCUUUGGGUACUUUCAG
rnacentral:rRNA from 1 species